ACUUCGAAUAAUAUCAAGAGUUAUGAAAGUUAGGAAUAAAAAAACCUUUUCUAAUCACACAUAUAGAGGAUAGGCUUGUGUAUUGUUAGCAUAAAUUUUUACUAAGUUAUGAAGGUUGGGCUUGUAUAUUGAAAGUAUUGUUAAAAUAUUUGUAGAUUUUUACAAUUUAUAGAUUGUUAUAUCAACAUAUAUGUGUAUGUGUGUAAAUUUAACAAUAGAGAAAGAGAACAAUUUUAGAGUUAAUAAUAUUAAUUUGAAAUGAAUUAUGAACAAAUGUAGAAGUUUCACAAAAGGGUAACUAUAUUUGUUACAAAAUAUACUAAAAUUCAAGUUUAAAUAAAAUUCCUACCAGUGAUUAUUGAUGACAAUUGUUAAUUAACAAUAGAAUACCUUAAUUAUCACAUAUUGCUUUUGUUGCUAGACUGUAUAGAGUAAUAGUCCUCAGUUGUGCCUAUUGAAAUUUGUGAAAAGUUUGAUACUUGUAUGUUUACAUCAAUAGUUGUUAAUCUAAUUGAAUAGUGAUUAGAUUAGAUUUUGAUCCUUUGACAGUAAGUCAUUGGCAUUGCAAAGAAAACUUUGUAAUCGAUUUUCAGUUCAUGGAAAGCCAAGAAAUUUUGCUGAGAUUUCGAAUUUAGAAUAUCUGAAAACUCUUCUCAUUUCAGAUUUUUAGGACUAUGCAAAGCCGGCGCGCCUUUUCCAAACAGCAGAAGCUAAAAUCUGUAAAGAAAUCUCAGCAGUAGAAAAUGAUUUCAGUUCUUUCUGUAUGUGUACUGGUUAAUUGAUUUAUUUUUUUUUAUUUUCUUGCUAGUGUUUAAAAUUAUUUUCUGCAAGAUUGUGUCUUAGCUUGUCAAUCUCUCUCUGUAAAACUCUCUUCUCUUGUUCCAACUCAUGAUAGGAGGGGAGAUGAAAUGGGUUUUGCUUGUAUCAAAGGAAACAAUUUUCAUAGCUGCAUCAGCUGUAUCAUCAUUACACAACAUAUGCUUAAUAACAACACCUCCUUCUUCUUCAUCAUGUCUUUCCAAAUCUUCGAAAACCCUAUCACGCUCUCUCCUCCUUUAUUCAGAUUCUUUUUCCAGUUUGAAAAACCCAACUCCACUUUUCAAUCUCCAUUUUAAGAAGAAGCUCACAACCUACAAAUCUCAUUCCCUUCUCUAGUUUUUGCUGCACAAACUAAUUGAAUUGAGUACCUAUUUAUUUUCUUUCACGAGAGACAAGGAAACAACUACAACCGCCGUCUAACAGAAAAAAAAAAGUUAAUUUUCUAUACUAGCUAGUGUUUUGUAUAGCUGACUGUAACUAAAGCUGAAGAGAAUAAUAUACUAUUCUUAGGAACAAAACUCUCUAACUAAAGCUGAAUUUUUAGUAUAUUGCAAUUCAAUUUUGGAUCAAUAGUUUUGUUAUGUAAAAAAAUAUAGAUUAAUUUUUGACUUUUUGUUAAAGUAAAUUUUUUAUAAGAUAGCUAUAUUUUAGCAAUAGAUCACAUUUUUAAGUGUUAUUAUGUGUAUCUCUCUUUUUUAUUGGGUGUGCAUGUGACUCUUAGAAAUCUGAAGAAAAAGAGAGUGAUAAAGAAGAAGAAAAAGAAGAAAAAGUUGUGUAUUAUAAUGAUUGGAAUUGAAAGUCAUGGAAGAGGAAGAAAAAGAUGAAUACUUUUAUGAUCCUUACGAAGAUGACUUGGACAAAAGAACUUGCAAAAUUGCCUAUGGUGAUGGAAAGGAUGACUACAUGCAAGUCUAGUAAAUCUAAAAAACUUAGACCACCACCUGAAUAUAAUGACAUAUUAGAUUGAUCAUUGAAUAGGGUAUUAAAUUAGGCUUUGCUUUUUCUCUUGUUUGUUUAUGUUACUGAAUUAGUGCUAAAUUUAAAAAUAAAUAAUAUUAAUAAUAAUAAAAGUAGAUGAACCUCUUUGAUUA